CCAUUCAAAUAUACCACAGUUUGUUUAACCAUUCACCUGUUGGUUGAAGAUGCCUUUCAACAGGUGACUGGUUAGACAAACUGUGGUAUAU
ensembl:miRNA